rnacentral:rRNA from 1 species
AACGAACGCUGGAGGCAUGCCUUAUACAUGCAAGUCGAACGCGAAAGUACCUUCGGGUAUCAGUAGAGUGGCAAACGGGUGAGUAACGCGUGGGAAUAUACCUUAUAGUACGGAAUAGCCUCGGGAAACUGGGAUUAAUACCGUAUACGCCCUUAGGGGGAAAGAUUUAUCGCUAUAAGAUUAGCCCGCGUCAGAUUAGCUAGUUGGUGGGGUAACGGCCUACCAAGGCAACGAUCUGUAGCUGGUCUGAGAGGAUGACUAGCCACAUUGGGAAGGAGAUCCGGCCCAAACUCCUACGGGAGGCAGCAGUAGGGAAUAUUGGACCAUGGGGGAAACCCUGAUCCAGCAAUGCCUCGUGAGUGAUGAAGGCCUUAGGGUUGUAAAGCUCUUUUAGUGGGGAAGAUAAUGACGGUACCCACAGAAAAAGCACCGGCUAACUCCGUGCCAGCCGCCGCCGUAA